CGUAAAGCAAUGGUGAUCGAUCAAGCGCAAGGUGUCAAGUUCCAGAGCGGUAAAAUUCCGGAAGGGUUUUUCCACAGUUACCGAAUCCCAACCGUUAACUGCUGUGCGGGAAAACUCCAUCCGUCCGACAAUCAUUGUUCGAUUAAACAACACUGGACGAAAAAUCGGCAAUAAUUGAGUCCCUGAAGAAGGUCCUAAAUGAGACCGAAACGUCGGACAAGAUUAAAUAGCUGUAUUUGAUUUUUGUCAAGACUGGAAGAGCCAUUUUCACUCCAGCAACGACCCGAAUGGGAUCGGACAAGACACCGUUGUGCAGUACUCUGCACGAAAAUGCCUCGUACUGUGCUUCAAUGAGGCCGAUGAUUUUCUCAGGGCCACCCUGGCGCCUAAGCGCUCCCCACAUGUUUUCGUGAUUGAGACGGUCGGGAGAUUUUUCUUUAUCAAUGAACAUCAGGUAGAGAGACUUUUGGAGUUCAUUGAUUUGCUCCAGAAUGAUACAGAACGUGACAAUAUGGUCCACACAGGAUCGUCCAGCAUGUUAUUGGAAUCCUGCUUGCUGCCGCCGGAGAGUUGCGUUAAUCUACUCCUGUAUCUGGUUAAGGAUAACACUGCAGAUGACUUUGAGGACGAUACUCAGUAACUUCUUUACUAAGAUGCCUUGCAUCCAGUCGACUGGAAAUGUCGCGGUUUCGCAUAUGUUGCAAAAUAACUGAAGCAGUAGUUGUGCAGAUACUACGGGGUUAGCUUUCAACAUCUGGGCUGAUAUGUGAUCGUCCCCCGGGACCCAGUUUGACUCCAUGCUACGGAUGGCUGUUUCUAUCUCCUGCAAUGAUGGAGCUUCGGUGUAGACACGGGUAAGGCAGAUCAUGCUGAGAUGUUGAUGACGUAGCCGACUCUUGAAAGCGUUUUCUAAAGUGCUCCAAGCAGCGUUUCAGCCAAUAGCUGCUCAGACGUUUUAUUCACGGGUAUCGUAGCAUUCGUCUUGACAUCGUGAGACAUCGCAGAGAAUACAAUUGUUGCCGGUAUUUUUGGCUCUCUCGCCUUCGUCGUCUAGGGAAUCCGCUCACGCUCUUUUGUAUCUUCUACAGGAGCGUUACACUUCCUUCUCGAGAGUGGAAUAGCGCUGACGGGCUAUGGUUUUGGCUCCUCGUAUUUUCUGUCGCUCUAUCGCGGCUUUGGUGUUCCUUCGCUCCUCUAUCUUCCACCAGGUAUCAUUUGUGAUAGGGUAACCUGGGUUAUACGCACCCCCGGGACAAAACACCCUCACGCUAUUUAACUAUAUAAGCUCCGUCAGAUGCAAGCAAACUAGACGCAAAAUUAAAACGAGCAAGACCAAGAAUGACAAAAAUAUUCGAAUGAAAAGCGUGGAAAACGAUGAUUUUCCACAUUUGGAAAGAUUGUCUAAUAUGAAGCGCACGCAAUUUAAGUGAUUGCGCGCCGAAUAUAUGGAAUCAAUAUAGGGUGACAAUGGGUAUUAUCGGCAGGUUUGUUCUCUUCGUCAUGGGGGGUUUUUGUCAGCCAAAUUGCCUGAAACUUGGUCAUAUAAUUCAGCUUAGUUGGGAAGGAUUUGAGACCAACUUUGAGUUCAAUAGGUUUCAAAAAACCCCCAAAGACGAAGAGAACAAAACGGCCGAGAAUAGGUAAUUUCCCCUA